UUUCCUUCUCAUGCAUGGAUUUUGGCCUAGCAGCUCGCCAUCUUAUGCAAACAAGUACUGCACCAAAUUUGCCUUUGCCAAAACCAACAUUGCCACCUUUGCCUUCACUUCCAACACUGCCUCAGGGCAAUGUUCCACCUUUGCCUACAAUCCCAUCUCUUCCAACCAUUCCAACUGUUCCACAGGUCACUCUUCCACCACUUGCUGCCACUUUACUUCCAAACUUCCCCACAGUCCCAACCACUAUUCCUUCCUUCCCCUUCUUCUCCCCACCACCUUCAGCCACCACUCCCUAAAUGAAGCUACUCUGCUUAUUGGAUACAUAGGCACUCGUAUCCUUGGAGUUUGGUUCUGGCUUUCAGUGAUCGUUGGCUGCAUUUCGUGUUGUUUUUAUGUUAUACAUGUGAUGGUGAUAUAUAUUGUACGUUGUCCAUUUAUUGCCGGGGAAUAUUUAUAGUAAUCUUUCAUUUUCCUUUGUUCUUCCAUCUUGUAUUGUAUGGAUAGGAUUAUUGUUUUUUCUUCCUCCUCCUUACUUCAUGUACUUGGGGAUCAUCUAUUGUUAUAGGAUAUACGCUAUAUAUAAUAAAUAAUCCAUGUUCCUUAAUUAUAUAAAUUUAUACACUUUGCUUUCCUAAGUUGCUAAGCCUCCUAUCGAGUUAUUUCUAUUCAAAGGGUAACAUAAUUUGACAAAAUAUAAAUGAUAUGGAUACUUAGAACACAUUCGGAUAAAUGCCUUAAUUAAAAGUAUUAAUAUAAUAAACUUUUAUUAAGAGGAAAUUUAUUCAUGUAAAAUUUGUUUGAAUAAUGGUAUUCAAGUUAUCUUCUAUUUAAAGUCUUAAAUUGCUUACUUCAAGUUGACUUUCAGGUUUUAUUUACUGAUCUUUUACUUCAUUAAUAAAAAGGAAUAUUGAAAAACUCAAGUGAAUGGAGCUAAACUAGCUACUUUCCAAUAAUAAAAUCAAAGGCACCCACUAGAGUGAGAGAGUCAAAGUCAAAAAAAGGAUCCAUAGUCUCUGAGAACGUGCAUGAAACUUUCAUUUCAAAUGACUCUCAAUUGAUAAAAGAAAGAAAAUAAGCUCUCUCUAUUUUUUUUCAUUCUUGAUUACUACCUUGCAUGUGUAUAAGACUUAAUUAUUUCAAUUUUGAAAUUUUUAAAAGAUUGCGUACUAAUCCUUAACUUUUUUAGGAAUCCUUUAUCAAUGGUUAUGAAUGAUCGCUUUGAAGUAAAUUAGAAGGUCGAUGACUGUAAAAGGGUUGAAUACUGAUCUGCACAAAGUAAAGAAUAUCUUUUGGCUUUUAAUGCUCAAGUUGUUUCUUGACAAUCUAAACUAUAAAGUUAAUUAGUUAGGAGUAAGGAAAUGCUUUCUCUCAUUUUAAGAGAAGAAAGUAUAAUAAUCAGAAUGUAUUUUAAUGUUGAGAAGCUUGUUUUAAAAAAUACAACUUUUGUAGCACUAGUCUAUUUUUUAGCACUAUUUCUGAACUGAGAAAUCACUUUUAAAUUUAUUUGAAACCUUCUAUAUUAAACUAUAAAUCAAAUUGAGUUUAAAUUCAAGUUUCUUUAAAAUAGAAAACUUAUUUUUAUGCAUUAUCAAACUUAAAUGUAAACAAAUGACAAGAAAGAAAGAAUGUUACUCACAAACAUUUUUAUAUUAAUUCAUUCUUUAAUUUUGGUCUACAUCCAAUCCUUAUCUUUAUCUUUAGUAGAAUUUUUACUAGAUGACACACACUAACCAACACACACAAAUAUAUAUAUAUAUAUAUAUAUAUAUAUAUAUAUAUAUAUAUUAAUACACUGCAACUUUUUAAGCAUAUUUUUGUUUUACAUUAACUAAUUAAGUAAUACUUUAAGUAUGUUUAUUAAAAUAAUUAUUAUAAAAAAUAAUAUUUUUUAACAAUAAUAUAGAUAUUUAUAAUUAGUUUAACAUAUAAAACAUCUUAUAUGGUAUAUGGUAUCAACAUAUUCCAAUUAACUUCUUAAAUAAUUAAUAACUAUAUUGUUAAACUUAAGUUGAUUUAACUAUCUGUAUAAAUAAAUAUAAAUAUAGAGAUAAAGAAAUAUAUAAAUUGGCAGAUAAAUAAGUUGGGAGGCUCAAACCAUUUUGGAUACAUGGGGAUUCCUCAUUCUCAGGCUCUCAAAUAGUAGUGGUAAGUAGUAACAAUACCAAAUGUGAAAUAUCCGUUCAAAACAUUAAAAAUAGUAACGAAUAAACUUUACAUCAUUUUAAUUCUUCCACUGGGUUGAUAGACUACUACUGUCUUUAAGACUAUCUCAUAUGCAUGCAGUUUUUAUUUUUUCAUGCGAGGGAAUGUACGUACCGUGUAUUUGAAGCUCUGUAAGGAAAAAGGAGCAUAUUCUGUGUACUAAAGAAUAUUAAUAAAAUAAUCACCUAUUAUAUGGUGGUCAAAUGGACUUUUUGGGUGAUUGGUCAAAGCCUGAAAUGGUAGUAAUACUCGUUGGCCUAAUGUGUGAGUGUAACUAUGAAACGCCAUUGGCUGCAAAUGGUGACGUCUGGUAGCUGAGAAUCAGAUGAACUGAGUUAGAUAAACCAACUCUUGGUAUUUUAAUUUCUGUUUUCCAAUCCCAAUUCUCCCCAAUAAUUAACAAAAACAAGUAAAAAUAUUUUUUUAAAAAAAGGAAUAACUAUCGUUGUUACCACAAAGUAAGCCUCACAUUUGAAUAUUGGAGGCUAUAACUCAACAAUAGCCAACUACCUUAUUAGUCCAAAAUAUAUAAUAAAAUGAUUUAUUCAAAUACAGGAGAUAGGUGAACUAACAAAAAUAUGGUAUUUGGUUCUCCAAACAAAGUUGAACUGAAACCAACCAAUGACUCUCUAGUCUCUAGCUCUAUAUAAGACGAAGCACUAUCCUUCAGCAUCUCAUCCAAUUCUCAAAGCAAAUACAUACCAUUUUCAUAUUUGGAAAUUCUUAUUCUUCUUCAUUCUUGCAAUGGCCUCAAGCAAAGCAUUCAUCACAGCUUUCUUCCUUCUUGCUCUGACCAUGUCAAGCAUGAGCAUGAGCCUAGCAGCUCGUCAUCUUAUGCAAACAAGUACUGGACCAAAUUUGCCUAAACCAACAUUGCCACCUUUGCCUUCACUUCCAACUCUGCCUCAGGCCAAUGUUCCCCCAUUGCCUACAAUACCAUCUUUGCCUACCACUUUGCCUCCACUUCCCAGCAGCAUCCCAACCAUUCCAACAGUUCCACAGCUCAACCUCCCUCUAUUGCCCUCAAUCCCAACCACUAUGCCCUCCAUCCCAUUUCUUUCCCCGCCACCUUCAGCCUCAAGCCCUUAAAAUACCCUUCCCUUCAUUUCUUCAUUCUAUGACUUGGUGGUGUCUCUGCAAAAUUGCAUGCAUGCAACAGAUAUGGCUUGAUUCCUUCCCGCAUUUGUGAGAGCAUUGUAUGGUGUUAUAUAUCAUACAAUCUUUGUUGUUUGGUGUGAUGAAAAACAGUGUAUUUUGUUUGUUUUCAGUUUAUGAGUUUCUUGCUAUUGCUUGUACUUUUUCUUAUAUUAUAUAGAUUGUGUACUGAUUACACAAUUAUAUAUACAAUUAUGAUUAAUUUGUCUUCUCCUUUUAAGCUCUUCAACAUCCUAAUUAUUUAUAUUUAAUUACAUCACUUAAAAGUAUUUCACUUGACACCUUGAAUUCUCAACGUUUGGCUUAUAUAACUCAUGUAGUCUAUUUACCAGGUAACGAGUAGAAGUAAAUAUAGCAAAACGUGGCAUUGUGAACCGCUAACCGCGAGAAAUUAAAUCUGGUGUUUCAUUUCAUAAAACUGAUUGAGUUGUACAUAACAAUAGUGAUAGUUUCACACUAACUGAAAUUCGUUAUAUAAAUAUUAGCAAAUAAUAACUUUUAGCGCUUCUCUUUUUGGUAAUUAUUAUUGCAUAAAAAAUAAGCCAUUAUGACGAGUUAGAUAAAUUUUUUAAACAGUAAAAAAGAUUAUAAGGCAAUAAUGACAAAUUAUUAGCAACUUAAGUCUAAUUAAGCUUAACUGCUGUCUAUUGCACUUAAUAAUAAGGUAUUAACAUGAAGUUCAGAUCAAGCAAUAUACUACGUAUAAGUUACAAACUUUACAAUAAUUUGUCGUUAUAUUAAUUUAAAAAAUAAUUUUCCGGUGUUGUUCUUAAAACUAAUCAUUGAGAAAAUAAAAACAAAACAUACUACUUUAUGUCAUAACAUAUCCAAAUAUAUGGUAUAUAUAAUAAUAAAAAAACAAAAAUUUAAAUAAUGUUCAAUAAAUGUUGUUUUUCUUCAAUCAACAUUGAUUUUUUACUUCAGAAAUAUAUCUAUGUUGAUCUUUAAUAAGAAAAAUAAAAAAAUAUACAGAUCAUCAAAGUGAAAAUUCAACUCUGAUUAAAAAACAGCACUAAAAGUAAUUAAAAAAUUACUUCUAAAUAUUAUCUAUAUAUAACUUCAAUUAUGCAAUUAACAAAUUAAAUUGUCCCCUAGGCUGAAAAAAGUUUGAAGGGAAAAUUAAUACACUGUGACCACAGGAAGCACAAUUCAUUCAUAUUUGCAUGUCAUAGAGCUUUUGCUAGUUUGAAUAUUUUUUUUAUGUUGUACGAAAAUAAGAGUCCAAAACACACUGAUUAUAUAUAAAAACACACUGAUUAUAUAUAAUUUAAAUUUUGAUGAACUGAGUAAUAAGCCACAGUACUAAAACCCUCACGCUUCACACUUAAACCAGUUAGACAUUUUAGCAAAUAAUCCUUCUUGGAAAUAUCGUCUGCGCGCAUGCAUAUUAAUUAAACAUGAAGAAAAAAGAUCGUUAACAGCAAAGAUAGAAUUGAACAGCAUUAAAAUGAACUGAUGGUACAGUUUUGCAUCAAUAUAUGACAAAUCAAGUACUCAAAGUCUAAGUCGUCUGAGAGUAAUGCAGUACUCCCAACAUUUGAUGCCAUUUAAAACCGACACAUGCAUGAAACACCGUUCUUUAGGUGAGUUCCUCUUCUUCUAAUUAAGGUGCACUAAUAUAAAAACUCAAGGGAAGGCUCUUGUCUUCAUCACCACGAAUCCUCUUACUAUUCAAAUGGCCUCCAUCCGUGUGCUGCUCUUAUCUUUCUUUUUCAUUGCUUUGUCACUUUUUUCCUUUGGCAAUGUCGAAGCCAGUAGAAAACUUCUGGCACCAACAUUACCCGAUUUGGGGAAUUCUCUUCCUCGCCUGAUAUUUCCUCCAUUUCCACCAGUAACGGACUGGCCAGAGUAUAGGUUGCCUCCCCCAUUGAUUCGCACGCUUCCACCCUUCUCACCUCCUUCAGCCACAACAACCAAUCCUUGAGUUGAAUAGUAUAUAUGAUCAGCAGAUCAUACAUGUACUGUAUAUCGAUGAUGUUGCAUAACUUGCAUUGCAUGUGGUGAUGUAGUGCAGUAAAAUAAAGGUUCACGUCACGCUCAAGCUUUCCUAAUAUCUUACGUGUUUAUUUAUUGACUUCAUCGUUGUUUGCUAUCCUUUGAUUGGGUGAGAUAUAUAUGCUUUGUAGUAGCACCUUGUAAUGGAGCAUCUUAUAAUUUUUUUCUUGUACUGGUGGAUUCAUAUAGACUAUUAGACUACGCCUUUAAGAGGAUGUAAUAUGUAAUUUUUUUUUUUAAUGUGAGAGGAUAUAAGUUUGAAGCUUUGUAUCAGUAUUCUAGAGUAAAAAAAUAAAAAAAAUAUAAUAGUGGAAAACAAGAUUAAAAAAAUUACGAAAAUAAAUUCCUCCUAAUUGUGGUCAUCAAAGUCAAAUAGAUGCAUUUCGGUGAUUGGCGGUCAAAGACUAAAAUGGUAGCUGAGGUGAACUCAGUUAGAUGAACCAACUCUUGGGUAUUCCCCCUUUUCCAACAACAACUCUUUCUUUCUUUAAUGCAUACAAAAUCUGAUGAGUUGGUCAUCCUACAUUUGAAUAUUGGGGACUAUAACUUCAUAUAAUAGCCAAAACCUUAUUAGUCCAACGUAAUAAAAAUACAGGAGAUAGGUGAACUAACAAAAAGAUUGGCUACUCUCUAUUUGGUUCUCCAAAUUAACAAAGUUGAAGUGAAACCAUGAUAUAUCCCAACUCUCUAGCCCUAUAUAAGACCAAGCACUAUCCUUCAGCCUCUCAUACAAUCUCAGAGCACAUACACACCAUAUUCAUAUUUGGCAAUUCCUCUUCUUCAUUCUUACCAUUUCCAUUGAGCUAUGGCCUCAAGCAAAUUAUUCAUCACAGCUUUCCUUCUUGCUCUGACCUUCUCAAGCAUGAGCAUGAGCCUAGCAGCUCGCCAUCUUAUGCAAACAAGUACUGCACCAAAUUUGCCGGGUAUUCCAAGUUUGCCUUCACCAACAUUGCCACCUUUGCCUUCACUUCCAACACUGCCUCAGGCCAAUGUUCCACCUUUGCCUACUAUCCCAACACUUCCACAACCUAACCUACCAUCUUUGCCAACCACUUUGCCUCCACUUCCCAGCAGCAUCC
rnacentral:lncRNA from 1 species